AUAUAUACAGGUGCGAGUGAUUGCUCACCCUCUCCUCCCGCUCCCGUCCACUUCCCGGUGUGGCUCGGCGUCUGCGGUGUGCGUGGUUUUGGUCGUCAGACCAGGAUUCAAUCUGGUACCUGUUCAAUGUGGCUGAGGCUGACUGGCUGCCGUGGUGGACAGGUUGCUCUGCAGGAGCCUAUCCUUGUGUUUUGCGUCUCGUGUCCUGAGUUAAUUGGAGCAGCAGGCCCUCACUCGGCUCUUCCUCCAGCCUUGGAUUCAGCUGGCGCUGUUUGUUUCUGACUGCAACUACAUGAAAGAUUCAGGACCGGACAGAGGGGACGUAGUGACUCUGAUCCUUUAUACAAACUGUUAAUCCUCUUGCACGGGAGGAUAUUGUUCGCGCUGUUACUCCCCGAUCUGCCGGAGACGCAGGUGAGCGUCAGCAGCAGGGGCGUCUCAGCGCUCUGCGGACUCUGCAGCCCGGUCGUCAGGCGGCUGCAUGCAGGUUUCUUUCAUUAAUUUUAGUAGUGCAUUGCUUUAUGAUGGGUUUGGUUGUUUGUUUCUUUAUAUUGGUUUUGAGUCAUUAAUUUUCCUUUUCCUUUAAUGUAGGUAUAUUUUGUGUUAAUCUGUUGUUUGUGGGUAUUUUGUUGUCUUUCUCUUUAUUUGCAUGAGUGUGGUUAUUUUCAUUUGGUUAUUUUGCAUUCCGUUAUUUGAUUCAGUAUUUUGAUUUGCAUGAGUGUUUCUUUUCAUUGCUUUGGUUGUUUUCCUUAAUUGAUUUGUUUGGAUUUAUUUGAGUGAGUUUAGUUACUUCAGAAUUGUUUUGUUUGUUGUUGUGUGUUUUAAAAAGAACUGUCUUAAAAAUAAAUAGUUUUCCAAUUGUAA